GCCCGGCUGGCGCAAUGGUAGCGCGCCAGACUUCUACACGCCGAAAUCUGGAGGUUGUGGGUGAGUCUAUUCGACUAUCCACCAUUGCCUGUUCAAAUAUUGACCUCGCUUAGGUUCGAGUCCCACGUUGGGUG